GACGAACGCUGGCGGCGUGCUCAACACAUGCAAGUCGAACGGUGAAGCGCCUUCCUUUUUGGUGGGUGUGGAUGAGUGGCGAACGGGUGAGUAACACGUGAGUAACCUGCCCCCUUCUUCUGGAUAACCGCAUGAAAGUGUGGCUAAUACGGGAUAUUCUGGGUCUGUCGCAUGAUGGGUCUGGGAAAGAUAUUGUUUCGGUGGGGGAUGGGCUCGCGGCCUAUCAGCUUGUUGGUGGGGUGAUGGCCUACCAAGGCGGUGACGGGUAGCCGGCCUGAGAGGGUGGACGGUCACACUGGGACUGAGGCACGGAGCAGACUCCUACGGGAGGCAGCAGUGGGGAAUAUUGCACAAUGGGCGCAAGCCUGAUGCAGCGACGCCGCGUGAGGGAUGGAGGCCUUCGGGUUGUGAACCUCUUUCGACAGUGAAGCAGGCCUGCCUCGUUUGUGGGUGGGUUGACGGUAGCUGGAUAAGAAGCGCCGGCUAACUACGUG
rnacentral:rRNA from 1 species